AUCACUUCUCGGCCUUUUGGCUAAGAUCAAGUGUAGUAAAAAUGCUGGCCUUUACCUGUUUGCAGGUCUUUUAAAUAAUAAAAUGCAAAUGAACCUUGCUUUUAAUGGACAUUCUGAACAAAAUUCUUCCAAAUAUAUCACUCUUUAUAUUUAAGAGUGAUAUAAUCCAAU
rnacentral:snRNA from 1 species